rnacentral:misc_RNA from 1 species
GUCAAUAUUCUGUGGCCAUUCUCUCCUAGAAACUCCCUCCUUCUGCGCCAAAUUUCAAAUUCGCUUUCUCCAAUGGACGAUUGCACAGUACUAUCGCUAGACUCAUCGCCGGUCUCUCCUUAUGAGCUUAUCUUCAAAGCUCUAUCUCUUAUUCCCAUCUCUCACUUUCUCUUAGGCCUCCUAUUGAUACUUCUCCUUUUCCUCUACAAUUUCCUCGAGAUUCAUUUCCUUCAAGAUCUGGUUACUGGAUUUAGAGGCGAUCCUGUGUUACUCACUUGCAGUUCCUCCUCUGAGCUCUACCAGUCCGUCGCUUCCAAGUGUCGGAUUCUUCACGGAAGGUUUUCUCCUACACCAUGGUUAUCUAGUCCUCAUCUCCAAACAGCUUUCUUGAGUCUUUUUGGGAAUUCUCCUAAUUUUUCCUAUAGAAGGCAUAUAUUCCAUGCUAAUGAUGGAGGAACAAUUGCUUUGGAUUGGCUAAUGUCCACUGAUGUUGAACAAGGUGUCUGCUGCAAUAAUGAUGCUGUUCUACGGGAUGAUAAAGCUCCAAUUGUAAUAGUGAUUCCUGGCUUAACUAGUGACUCUGCCUCUGCUUAUAUCAAGCAUCUUGCUCUCACGAUGGCAAGGCAGGGUUGGAAUGUUGUUGUAUGCAAUCAUCGGGGAUUGGGAGGCAUGUCAAUAACUUCUGAUUGCUUCUAUAAUGCUGGGUGGACAGAGGACGUUCGGAGUAUCAUUGAUCAUAUUCACUGUGAAUAUCCAGAAGCUCCUCUAUAUGCGGUUGGCACUAGCAUUGGUGCCAAUAUUCUGGUAAAAUAUCUUGGAGAACAAGGGGUUACUAUUCCUCUUACUGGUGCUGCUGCUGUCUGCUCUCCUUGGGACCUUUUGAUAUGUGACAGGUUCAUCAACCGCAGGCUUGUGCAGAAGUUCUAUAAUAAAGUGCUAGCUAUUGGCCUACAAGGUUAUGCGCAAUUGUAUGUCUAAAUUACUUCUGCUUUGUUUCUUGACAUUGAAUCUCUCAUUAUAGCGGUGGUGUAUAGCACAGUGAUUCUAUAGAAAAUUCAUUUGAUUUCUACUUUGUUUAGUUGUGUCAACUCUCUGUAGAGUUAAUUUUUACAGUUAAUUUGUACUUUCCUGCAGGCAUCAUUCUAUCUUGUCUCGUCUAAUAGAAUGGGACAGUGUCAAGCUGUCACGUUCAGUUAGAGACUUCGACAAGCAUGCUACCCGAGUUCUUGCGAAGUUUGAGACUGUGGAUACCUACUACAGGCGUUCUAGUUGUGUAAAUUUGGUGGGAAAUGUCACUGCCUCUUCUUUGUGUGAGUGCUCUUGAUGAUCCAGUUUGUACAAGGGAAGCCAUCCCAUGGGAUGAAUGUAGGUAAGGAGUCAGUAGUCAGCAUCCUUACUGUUCGCCGCACCUCGUUCGGCUCUAUGCGCUUUUUUCAAUAUGUGUGCCAUUACUUGAAGAAAACUCGAAGUGCUUUAUUCCACUACUUGGAGCUGUUAAAAAUGUGCCUUAGGCCCUAUGCGUAUCCAAGGCACAAGCAUUAAGCUUUAGCACCAAUAGCUUUUUAACUUUUGACUGAAAAAUUCACCUGAGGCAUACAAGUCACGCUCCCACACCAAAAGUUUUUAGGCACAAAAAGGCAUGCCCCAGAAACCUUCUUUCCUAAACUUUAGUUCUAACCUGUGUCACUUGGACUUGGGUGCUAGGAUUGGAUAGGAACAUAUUUCUGGAAGCCAGACUUGCCUACUUUUUGAAUGUUGAUAAUUGCUUCAACAAAUUUGAUGUGCCAAAGUGUCAUAUGAAUGUUUGAGUACCGUUAUGGGCUAAAGGGAAGGGUCCAAGUAAGAAUGGUUUUAACCUGAAGUAAGUUUCAGCACAAGUAGAGAUUUGCUCCACGGUCCAAGUUUUGUCCGCCAACAUUAUAAUGUUACACCUGCUGACCUACACUUCUCGUGAGAAAGAUCAAUCAGCCUUGAGGGAUAUUUUUAUAUCUAAAGUAACAUUUGGGUGUACUUGCUAUCAAAACUUAUGGAUGUAUCAGUUGAUGAGCAACAGAUGCCCUAGUACUAGCACUACAGCAGAUCUUCGAUGCUGAUGCUUACCGCAAUAUUUUGGAGUAUGCUGAGGCAUGUUUAUGCAUGUUGAAAAAUUUAAAAGUACUCAUACAAUAUCAUGCCAAAUUUAUGUUUAUAUUUUCAUUAAUUGGCAUAGUUUGUACCUUUUUAUGCCAAGUAAUAUUCCAUAUUUUGCAAAGCUGAUAAUAUUACUACUUUACUUUCUACUACUUUUCAAUUUUAUAUGAAACUGAUUUUGUUUGAUUUACUUUAGGGCAAAUGAGAACAUUAUCCUUGCUACCACACGGCAUGGAGGACACCUAGCUUAUUAUGAGGGGAUCACUGCAAAUAACUUGUGGUGGGUGAGGGCUGUUGAUGAAUUCUUUCAUGCCCUGCAAUCUAGCCCAUUGAGAAACAGAAGAAAGAAGAUGGAAGAAUCGAACAUGACUUCUGUGCUGGAAUCCUCGAUUGAUCAGGGGCCCUAUGUGAAUGUUAGGGAAGACGGAAUGGUGACUGCAAUAGGCAACACCAAAGAUAAUGUUGCAGAAGAUACACCCAACGAAGAUGGGGAUCAUGUUAAGAGGGAUGAAGAAAACAUUUCUGAAAGAGAAAGGAGAGAUAACAUGACAGAGGAAACACAUUCCAAAACUGAUCUCAAGCAGCGAUUAGAUCAAAAUCUCAAUGAUCUGAUAGUUCCUAUAAGAAGACACAUGGGUCAGCUCUCACGAGGGUGUAGGAUUUCAAUCUGGCUACUCGCAUACAUUGCAGUUGUAACAACCUGGCCGCUGGUUGGUUCAGCUCUUCUUUUGUUCAUCAACAGAAAGUUCAAAAACAUCAUUCCGGGGUCAUUGCUUAGAAGAUAGCAUACGUCGAACUAUAAAAAUUAUUGUCAUUCUUGCUGGGUAUCCUGACCAUGAUGAAUUGGUCUAAAUAAUGAUAAGAUUUACCGUCUUCAUAAGCAGAAUAAAGAUGCUAAUUAUAUGUCAUCAGAAAUUGUAAAGCAUCCAACCAACUUCAAUGGUAUUAGAGUCGUCUAAAAGGUUAUAAAGGCUCAAGUUCGAUUUUCAAUCAGAAAUAAAUGACUCAAAAAGAAUUUGGGAG